AAAGGGAAGCAAAGCCGCGAGGCGGAGCGAAUCCCCAAAAGGCGUCUCAGUUCGGAUUGCAGGCUGCAACUCGCCUGUAUGAAGUCGGAAUUGCUAGUAAUCGUGGAUCAGCAUGCCACGGUGAAUACGUUCCCGGGCCUUGUACACACCGCCCGUCACACCAUGAGAGCCGGGAACACCCGAAGUCCGUAGUCUAACCUAUAUGGAGGACGCGGCCGAAGGUGGGUUUGGUAAUUGGGGUGAAGUCGUAACAAGGUAAC
rnacentral:rRNA from 1 species